rnacentral:rRNA from 1 species
UACGAAGGGGGCUAGCGUUGUUCGGAAUUACUGGGCGUAAAGCGCACGCAGGCGGUCUGUUGAAUUAGAAGUGAAAGCCCUGGGCUCAACCCGGGAAUUGCUUUUAAGACUGGCAGGCUAGAAUCCGGAAGAGGGUAGCGGAAUUCCCAGUGUAGAGGUGAAAUUCGUAGAUAUUGGGAAGAACACCGGUGGCGAAGGCGGCUACCUGGUCCGGCAUUGACGCUCAUGUGCGAAAGCGUGGGGAGCAAACAGG